UUGCCACCGGCGGCAAAAAAGGGGACACACGCAGCACUGAGGAGGAACUGAGAAUGAAAGACCGCGUUCAAACAAAGUGGCCGCGAGUUUCUGCUGGGAAAGCAUCAAGAUCUGCUACAAACUGUGCAGGAUUGCCUUCAUCUCCAAUAUGCGGGUUGCAGCCGGUGAUUGGCAGGAGGAGGAGAGUCUGACGGAGGAGCAGAGGAAUGUUGGCAGCUAUUUAGUCUGAGCUCAACAACGGAGGAAACAUGGAUUCUUCACAAAAAAAAUGUAAACACAGCAAUGGAGUGAGAUGUGGGACCUCUGAGGAGGAUAAGGAUGGUUCAGCAACAACAGCAAAAAGAGAUGAAUCACUCAGUUGUGAGCAAUGUGGCAAGACUUUUAUCACAGCAACAAAGCUCAGAAUUCACAAACGUAUUCACACUGUGGAGAAACCAUUCAGCUGUGAUCAGUGUGGAAAAGCUUUUACUUGAAGUGUAAUCUAGCAACACAUCAACUCAUUCACAGUGGAGGUAAACCAUUCAGCUGUGAUCAGUGUGGAAAGGCUUUUACUCAGAAGUGGAGCUUAAAAAGACAUCAACUCAUUCACAGUGGAGUUAAAACAUUCAGCUGUGAUCAGUGUGGAAAGGCUUUUAAUCAGAAGAGUCAUCUGGCAAAUCAUCAACUCAUUCACAGUGGAGUGAAAUUGUUCAGCUGUGAUCAGUGU